rnacentral:rRNA from 1 species
UACAGAGGGUGCGAGCGUUGUCCGGAAUCACUGGGCGUAAAGGGCGCGUAGGUGGCGCGAGUAGUCAACGGUGAAAGCCCGGGGCUCAACCCCGGGUCGGCCGUCGAUACUCUCGUGCUUGAGCACUGUAGAGGCAGGUGGAAUUCCGGGUGUAGCGGUGGAAUGCGUUGAGAUCGGAAGGAACGCCCGUGGCGAAAGCGAGGUCCUGGACGUCUACUGACGCUGAGACGCGAAAGCUAGGGUAGCGAACGGG